GCCGCUUCCCUCGGUGGGAUGGAGACUGGAGGGGAGGACGGGGACAGUUUGACCGUUAAAAACAAAUUACAGGAUGGACUCAUCGUCAAUGUCAUUAAAGACGGUCCCAUUGAUCUGACUCGGCUUCAAGGCGACCCAGUUCAACACUGGCAUCCUGAACUUGGUCUGGAUUGGCUUCUUUAUCUUCACCGCUGCACAGCAUAGAGAACGACAGGUGAGCGGGGUGACAGGUUGUCCAUGUUAGAUUUACUGUGAGAGUCUAUAGGUGUGUUCAGACUGAGUGGCUGCAGUGUGUGUUUAUUGAGCACAACCAAAGUCCACUGUAGGUAGCUUGAACUAUAACAGACAGAUAGCCUUAAAGAUUUAUUUUGACACAUUUAUAUGAGUGAGGGGGGGCGUUACUCCAUCUGGAGACCUGGUGGGGCUCCCUAUUGUGGAACUGUCUAUCCCCUAUCAAUUUCGACUCUUCUCAUCGAGUAAUGGUUUAGUUGACUAUUAUAACUAAUAUAAUUUAAAGUGAUGUGAAAUAAGUCUGAAGCAGAUACAGCUGGUUUUAGCAGUUCUGAAUGUUUUGAUAUCUUUUAAUCUUUGACUCAAAAAACACUUCCUGUGUCUCUGUAUUAACUUUAUAUACUGUUUCUCAAAUGUUCCUCACAUCAGUCUGAACACACAUUAAAGAGGUCGAUCAUUGACCUCAAACAUGUGACAUUAAUAAAACACAAACCAGCCAAUAGCUGGCUGUACUAUCACCUGGAAAUUUCCAAUUUCCAGGUGAUAAAGGGAUGAUAGCGGGAUGAUGAAGGGAUAGAGGACAAUGGAGGACAAACCACAGAAAUGGGCGGCUGUGGGUAGUUCACUGAUUAAAGGGUUGGCGGUUCUUCUUGGGCAAGACAGUCAACCUCAAACUGCUUCCGAUGGUCAGAUCAGUAGCUUGCUGCCAUCAACGUGUCAGUGAAUGAGCAGCAAAGACUUUGUAAAAAAAGCCUCGGAUGAAAUAUCAAUGUAGCCAUUUACCAUUUAAGAUGAUGGAGGAUGGAAUAUUGAAGAUGAAGGUUGAAAUAAAGAUGGGGGAUGAAAUAAAGUUGGAUGAAAUAAAGAUGGAGGAAGCAGGAAGAUGUGUGAUGGAUGUUGAAGACCAUAAGGAAACGUACAAAAUAACUUGAGAGGACCCUCUGUCAGCAAAACAAGAGAGAAAAAACCAACAUGUUAGUAGCAUAGACUCAACACAUUCACAUUUACCGUAACAACUGAGAAUUCUGGCUUCUGAUUGGCUGAAAGGUGUAGAUGAAAUUUUAGUAACCAGACAGUAUAUCCACACGUUUGUUCUAAAUUACUGCAUAAGACUGUUUUAUAAACAAUGUUGCUGUUCAACUGCUUGGACUCAGAUAUCAAACGUCGGAGCUUCCUUUAACACAUCAACAUGGAGAGUUUUUCAGAUAUUAGUGACCUUGAUAGAAAAACAGUUUAUGUAUUUAGUAUUUAGAGCAGGGCUCCGGAGUGCGACCAAUUGGGUUGCACAUGUACACAAGACAUGGAGCCCUUGGUCCCUGGUGAGAGACCAAGCCCUGGUCCUUCGGUGACAGCAUCAGACUCAGAACCAGAAGAGGAGACAACCGAGUCUGGGAUAGAGCCCGGCUCCGUGACCCAAAUUAAAAAGGCCAAAAUAUAUUCCUUCAGACAGGACUGACUGAAACAAUUUCCCUGGCUGAGGUACAAAGGUACCGCAAUGCACUGCGUGUACUGUCAGGAGUGCGGUCAGAAUAUGGCCGGAAAUAGUGCAUUCGUGAGCGGGUAAACAAGUUUCGUAUCGAAACUUUAAAAAAACAUAACAUGUCUAAAAAAAAACACAAUAUACUGUGACAAGUGUGUAGAGAAAGUGGCCCCUCUCCCAGCUGCAUUUCAGCGGCAGGUAGUAGUAAGCUCUUUAAAAAGUAGCCCUUUUUAUUUUGAAAUGUUUUAUUUUACUUAAAAUGUUUGAGUUUGAAAUGUUCAAUUUCAGUUGAAGCAAUUUAAGCACAAGCACUUUUAUUUGGAAAUGUUUUAUUUUGCUUAGUGUUUUAGUUUGAAAUUUUCAAUUUCAGCUCAGUGAAGCACUUUAAACACUUUUCUUUUUAUAUAUAAUUGUGCUUCAAAUAAAGACAAACAUUUC